UACGGAGGGGGCAAGCGUUAUCCGGAUUUACUGGGUUUAAAGGGUGUGUAGGCGGAUUAUUAAGUCAGCGGUGAAAUCUCCGGGCUCAACCCGGAAACUGCCAUUGAUACUAUUAGUCUUGAAUAUUGUUGAGGUGGGCGGAACGGGUCAUGUAGCGGUGAAAUGCAUAGAUAUGACCCGGAACACCGAUUGCGAAGGCAGCCCACUAAGCAAUGAUUGACGCUGAGGCACGAAAGCGUGGGGAUCAAACAGG
rnacentral:rRNA from 1 species